GUGUUACGAAGAAUUCAGUGACCAUGCGAAUUCAUUGUGCAUGUCGAAAGUGCGCAUGCGCCGCUUUCUAAAAUUCCUUUCUGGUCAACGGGAGCGUGUGAUAUCUCGUGCACUUGUGGUAUUUGCGGUACAUGGAUAACCUUUUUUACAGCAGCCGCAAAAAGGAAAUAUAUUCUGUUGGUUAACAUACUUUGUGUUUCCUGCCAACUUCCUUUCCUCCAAGGAUAUGCUCCUGUGACCCUGUUGAUGUUGCAGUCUCUGCUGGGAGGUCGAUCAUACUAGUUUGCAUAAAUGGCCGGUAUGAUCUGAAUGUUCCUGUGCUGACAUGCAAUCUUUGCAAUAACCAUUGGGCUCCGAAGUCAAUGACUUUGUAAAGAGUGGGUACUGGCCAGCCACCAUGCAAGCACAGACUUUGUUCCAUCAAGACCUGUUUCGUUUGAGGCAAUGAAGACAACUGCUCCAGGGUUGUCUAGACAAGCCUUCACGGCAAUGCUGGACCAGGGAACAAAGCACUUUGGAAGGGUGGGACCAUAAGGGGGCCGGUGCAUAGAGGAUCGGGCGGCAGUCGAAGCGGGGGCCUAGACAACCCGAUCCCUGGACACGGAA